CUGAGAGCCUUGAAGUCAUCCAUAGAGUAGGUACAGCAUGGGACCAGCACUGCAGGCUGCCAUUCAUUGCAUCAACAAAAUGCCUUCAUUCUGAUCUGAAGGAAGUUAACCUCCAGGCUAUUCAACCACUUGCACCU
rnacentral:sRNA from 1 species